rnacentral:rRNA from 1 species
CUUGCUCCUGGUGGCGAGUGGCGAACGGGUGAGUAAUAUAUCGGAACGUGCCCUAGAGUGGGGGAUAACUAGUCGAAAGAUUAGCUAAUACCGCAUACGAUCUACGGAUGAAAGUGGGGGAUCGCAAGACCUCAUGCUCAUGGAGCGGCCGAUAUCUGAUUAGCUAGUUGGUGGGGUAAAAGCUCACCAAGGCGACGAUCAGUAGCUGGUCUGAGAGGACGACCAGCCACACUGGAACUGAGACACGGUCCAGACUCCUACGGGAGGCAGCAGUGGGGAAUUUUGGACAAUGGGCGCAAGCCUGAUCCAGCAAUGCCGCGUGAGUGAAGAAGGCCUUCGGGUUGUAAAGCUCUUUUGUCAGGGAAGAAACGGUCUUGGUUAAUACCUGGGGCUAAUGACGGUACCUGAAGAAUAAGCACCGGCUAACUACGUGCCAGCAGCCGCGGUAAUACGUAGGGUGCAAGCGUUAAUCGGAAUUACUGGGCGUAAAGCGUGCGCAGGCGGUUAUACAAGACAGAUGUGAAAUCCCCGGGCUCAACCUGGGAAUUGCAUUUGUGACUGUAUGGCUAGAGUGUGUCAGAGGGGGGUAGAAUUCCACGUGUAGCAGUGAAAUGCGUAGAUAUGUGGAGGAAUACCGAUGGCGAAGGCAGCCCCCUGGGAUAACACUGACGCUCAUGCACGAAAGCGUGGGGAGCAAACAGGAUUAGAUACCCUGGUAGUCCACGCCCUAAACGAUGUCUACUAGUUGUCGGGUCUUAAUUGACUUGGUAACGCAGCUAACGCGUGAAGUAGACCGCCUGGGGAGUACGGUCGCAAGAUUAAAACUCAAAGGAAUUGACGGGGACCCGCACAAGCGGUGGAUGAUGUGGAUUAAUUCGAUGCAACGCGAAAAACCUUACCUACCCUUGACAUGUACGGAAUCCUGAAGAGAUUUAGGAGUGCUCGAAAGAGAACCGUAACACAGGUGCUGCAUGGCUGUCGUCAGCUCGUGUCGUGAGAUGUUGGGUUAAGUCCCGCAACGAGCGCAACCCUUGUCAUUAGUUGCUACGAAAGGGCACUCUAAUGAGACUGCCGGUGACAAACCGGAGGAAGGUGGGGAUGACGUCAAGUCCUCAUGGCCCUUAUGGGUAGGGCUUCACACGUCAUACAAUGGUACAUACAGAGGGCCGCCAACCCGCGAGGGGGAGCUAAUCCCAGAAAGUGUAUCGUAGUCCGGAUUGGAGUCUGCAACUCGACUCCAUGAAGUUGGAAUCGCUAGUAAUCGCGGAUCAGCAUGUCGCGGUGAAUACGUUCCCGGGUCUUGUACACACCGCCCGUCACACCAUGGGAGCGGGUUCUGCCAGAAGUAGUUAGCCUAACCGUAAGGAG